rnacentral:rRNA from 1 species
AUUGAACGCUGGCGGCAGGCCUAACACAUGCAAGUCGAACGGUAACAGGAAGAAGCUUGCUUCUUUGCUGACGAGUGGCGGACGGGUGAGUAAUGUCUGGGAAACUGCCUGAUGGAGGGGGAUAACUACUGGAAACGGUAGCUAAUACCGCAUAACGUCGCAAGACCAAAGAGGGGGACCUUCGGGCCUCUUGCCAUCGGAUGUGCCCAGAUGGGAUUAGCUAGUAGGUGGGGUAACGGCUCACCUAGGCGACGAUCCCUAGCUGGUCUGAGAGGAUGACCAGCCACACUGGAACUGAGACACGGUCCAGACUCCUACGGGAGGCAGCAGUGGGGAAUAUUGCACAAUGGGCGCAAGCCUGAUGCAACCAUGCCGCGUGUAUGAAGAAGGCCUUCGGGUUGUAAAGUACUUUCAGCGGGGAGGAAGGGAGUAAAGUUAAUACCUUUACUCAUUGACGUUACCCGCAGAAGAAGCACCGGCUAACUCCGUG